UGUUUUGCGCAGUGGCAGUAUCAUAGCCAAUGAGGUUAAUCCGAGGCGUGAUUAUUGCUAGUUGAAAACAUUUCUAUUACCAUAACAUGUAGGAGCCCGGGUCAUGGACCAGGACCCCAUUGUGCUAGGUGCUGUACAAACAG
ensembl:snRNA U4 U4 spliceosomal RNA